rnacentral:rRNA from 1 species
GCACGUUAUGGUGGGCACUCUAAGGAGACUGCCGGUGACAAACCGGAGGAAGGUGGGGAUGACGUCAAGUCAUCAUGGCCCUUACGGCCUGGGCUACACACGUGCUACAAUGGUCGGUACAAAGGGUUGCCAAGCCGCGAGGUGGAGCUAAUCCCAUAAAACCGAUCGUAGUCCGGAUCGCAGUCUGCAACUCGACUGCGUGAAGUCGGAAUCGCUAGUAAUCGUGAAUCAGAAUGUCACGGUGAAUACGUUCCCGGGCCUU